rnacentral:rRNA from 1 species
CCUACGGGGGGCAGCAGUGGGGAAUAUUGGACAAUGGGCGAAAGCCUGAUCCAGCCAUGCCGCGUGUGUGAAGAAGGCCUUCGGGUUGUAAAGCACUUUCAGUGGGGAAGAAAGCCUUGGGGCUAAUACCCUCGAGGAAGGACAUCACCCACAGAAGAAGCACCGGCUAACUCCGUGCCAGCAGCCGCGGUAAUACGGAGGGUGCGAGCGUUAAUCGGAAUUACUGGGCGUAAAGCGCGCGUAGGCGGUCUGAUAAGCCGGUUGUGAAAGCCCCGGGCUCAACCUGGGAACGGCAUCCGGAACUGUCAGGCUAGAGUGCAGGAGAGGAAGGUAGAAUUCCCGGUGUAGCGGUGAAAUGCGUAGAGAUCGGGAGGAAUACCAGUGGCGACGGCGGCCUUCUGGACUGACACUGACGCUGAGGUGCGAAAGCGUGGGUAGCAAACAGGAUUAGAUACCCCAGUAGUC